CCAGAGGGCGGCAGAGAACAAGGUGGUGGUGCUCAGGAGCUGGUGCACAGAUCAAUAAGAUCAUUGGGCCUCAGGCUGUUUUUCUUUGUCGGGGCAAGUACUAGGCAUCAGGCCAAACUUUUCCCUAGGGCGGAUCCCAUUACAGGGCACUGUGAAUACAGGUGUGAAGGACUCAGGAGCUGGGAUGAAUUCCCACCCCAUGGAGCUGAGUGUCUCAUCACAGGCUCUUGCUCUGGUGACUGGAAGACCGAGUUAAAAAACAAACAAAUCAGAAAACAACAACAACAACAACAGCAGCAAGUACUUUCUGGGGAAUUUGGAAUAAGAAUCUGGUCUUUAUUCCUUUCCCCUGCCUAAAUUUAGCAGGAUGUGCGUGGCACAUAUUUCUAAGAGUACUCUUUAAUUUUAUUAAAGAUUGCAUCUGACUGAUCUAAUCUUAUUUCAAUAAACACUUGUGACUGACCCUGUCCUGUAUGUUUCCUUGUGUCCCUUUGUUCAUGGUUUUGU